rnacentral:misc_RNA from 1 species
AACGCACAUUGCGCCCACCAGUAUUCUGGUGGGCAUGCCUGUCCGAGCGUCAUUUCAACCCUCAGGCCCGGCCUGGUGUUGGGGAUUGGCUUCGCAGCCAGCCCCGAAAUGCAGUGGCGGCCCUCCGCAACUCCUCUGUGUAGUAGUGAUACCCGCAUUGGAUAGUGGUUGCGCCUCGCCGUAAAACCUCCAACUCUUCAAGGUUGACCUCGGAUCAGGUAGGAAUACCCGCUGAACUUAA